GCGCCCGUAGCUCAGUGGAUCAGAGCGUCGCACUCCGGAUGCGAAGGUCGGAGGUUCGAAUCCUCUCGGGCGUACCA
rnacentral:tRNA from 1 species